GAUGAACGCUGGCGGCGUGCCUAAUACAUGCAAGUCGAGCGAACAGACGAGGAGCUUGCUCCUCUGACGUUAGCGGCGGACGGGUGAGUAACACGUGGAUAACCUACCUAUAAGACUGGGAUAACUUCGGGAAACCGGAGCUAAUACCGGAUAAUAUAUUGAACCGCAUGGUUCAAUAGUGAAAGACGGUUUUGCUGUCACUUAUAGAUGGAUCUGCGCCGCAUUAGCUAGUUGGUAAGGUAACGGCUUACCAAGGCAACGAUGCGUAGCCGACCUGAGAGGGUGAUCGGCCACACUGGAACUGAGACACGGUCCAGACUCCUACGGGAGGCAGCAGUAGGGAAUCUUCCGCAAUGGGCGAAGGCCUGACGGAGCAACGCCGCGUGAGUGAUGAAGGUCUUCGGAUCGUAAAACUCUGUUAUUAGGGAAGAACAAAUGUGUAAGUAACUAUGCACGUCUUGACGGUACCUAAUCAGAAAGCCACGGCUAACUACGUG
rnacentral:rRNA from 1 species